UCCUCUUCUCCAUUCGGGCUUUCAGAGGAUUUAACUCAGAGCGCUUCCUUUAGUCGCAGCAGGGAGGACCAACAAGACAUCAAGACUUCUCGAUAACCUAAACUCUCUAAGCCAAAUCCACACACCUUUUUUUUUCCCUUAGAGCAAUGGCAGAAUGCUGGCAGGACAGCAGGGAUAGAGGGACUUGCUCUUUUAAAGCGGAAGUAUUGGGGUCAGAGGUCACAUGCUCAAACGCAGAGGGUCAGAGAUCCAGCUGCAAAACAGGACAAAGAUCUCAUGCUGAGAGAAAGAGAGACACAACGUGAGAUGGAGAGAGGGAGUGUGGGGUGUGUGUGUUUUUAUCAGAGAAACAGAAGGCCAAAGCAAGCAAGGAAAAAAAAAGGGAUGAACGAAUAUACGAAUACACACUUAGCCUUUGGCUCAGGUGAGAAAGUAGCACCUCACAGCCUCCGCAGACCAACACGACUCUCCCGGUCUUCAGUAUCACGCCAUGCACACUCUCUCAGUGUUGGUCAGAGAGAAAGCAUGAGAAUUGCGGGGUGUAAAUUUAAAUCAAGCUAAAUGAAGAUCAAGGAUCAAUAAUCUAUGGGUGAUCUUGGAGAAAAGCCGCUCUGCAGGAGGCAGCGCUCAUGACAUCUUUAUGUAUGAUGUUCCUGUUUCAAAAUGCCAUCGACCCUUCAGAUGAGCGCGGGUUCCGCGAGCUCCAUACCCGAAACCACCAUCAGAUUUUUCUUAUUGACACAUGCUUGUGGAGAAGGCCAGACGAGGCCAUCCAAAGGGUGUUGCUGCUCACACCUAAAACACUGCUUUACAUAUUAAACCGCAGAUAACUUAUAAUUAUAAUGAGAUUUUCUUUUUCAUUUUUUGUAGGUGAUAAAAAGAUGCAAAAUUGGCUGUACCUUUCCUCCAGCCCUCCUAUCCGUCCCCAGUCCUGUUUUAUCGCAAGGUUCAACAGUGUCACAUGGAGAGAGAUAGCACUUAAUCACCUAGACAAACACACCAUUACCCUUUGAAUUCACACAGUGCAUUAAAAUGACAUUAAAUAUGGUAAACUAUUCUCAUUACCCAAACACAUGCAUAAAAUCUCUGUCUUUUCUCAAUCCAGAGGUCAGAGCAAUGAAUCCCGCUAUUUGAGCCGUUUUUAAAAUGUGUGACCUGCUGAAAACUCUGCUUUGGGAAUCAUUUAAAGUUAAAAGCUACCACGCAUUAAUGCAAGCAGUCAGCUGCCACUAACUGGAUUGAGGCGAUAACUAUCAGCAUGGAUUCCUGUCUGAAGCCUCUCGCUGGACAGAACGCUCAUUUUGAACGCUUCCAGCAAGAGAUCACAAAGUCAUUAACUAUUUUCUGUCUUUCUCAGCAGUUAGCGCUGAUGUCGCCCGCUCGGCCAUAAUGUAUUGUGCUGCAAACAAGAAGGAUGGCCGGAUCUCUGCCUCCCGGUGCCACGGGGCCCCACGGUGACGUGGAGGCUCAGGUAUAUGGAUGGCCUGAGGAGGUCUCCAUCAUUCAUAAAACAUGCCGCCGCCAUACGCCGCCGAAUUGAUCUUGCAAAAGAAGCCGGGUGGCAUGCCGACCACUUCAUUAGUCUUCUGGAUCCACAAAUCAAACCUCUGUAGACUCGCACAGCCACCACAGCUACCAAAUCCUAAUCUCAACACUACUCCGUUUCUGGCUUUCUUGCAGUUUUCCAAUCUGCACACCUUCCACACACCGUAUUUAUUGUGCAUGGCCAACUGGCACUGGCCGGAAUAAACAUCUGCAGGAAAGGCCGUGUCCGGCAACAGAAGCCCCGUAAGCUGUGUACAGAAAUGCACACAAAUCUCAGCCAUGGUAAUUGAUCAUUCGUGGUCAUUUCGGGCGUCGUGGGAUGAAAUCAAGUAGCUUCUCCAUAAAACAAUGUCAAAUAUUGAUGAUAUUUCUUUUCGCUGGCCCUCGGAAUGAAUUGCCGCACUCACCGAGCCUUCAUGAUGAAUGCUUUUUAUUGCUUUUUCUGUUGUUGUUGGAGUGCUUGGACUCUUUGUAGCAUGCAGAAGCAGCUAAGCCAGACCUCCUGCAAUACUGGGACAGCACUGGCUACAGAGCAAACCACUGCCUCUUUUUUAUCUGAUGUACUUUGUUCUGUAGAAGAACCCAUAAAUCAACAUAAAAAACAUUCCAUUUGCACUAUAUGAUUUCAUGAAACGAAAUAAGACCCUUCCCAGCAUGUUAAUAAAGACAUUGAAGAGCUGUAAGAUUUUAUUGACAGAUAUAGAUCACAGUUGGAGUCAAAUGGCAAAAAAAAAAAAAAGAGUUGUAGCUUUGCUUGGAGAGGAAAAAAAAGAAAGUGUAAUGUCUUUCUCUUGUUCUCCCUCCUGUGCACCUCCUUUGUCUGUCUGUCUCUCCACGUCUCUCAGAAAACAAACUGUUCUUGUAUUGUGUUGUCUCUUUAAAGUUGCAUGGCUGCCCUCAACCCCCGCCUUGUUCCUGCACAGCCUAUUCCCCCAACUGUCAUUCCAGCAGGUCUAAAAGCCUGUCUUGUGAGCUGUUCAACAUCAGAAACUGUUUGUGUAUUUGUCAGUUUGGUACCUCUAGAAAUUCACUUCACUUAAGACAAGGAUGCCUGAGGACUUUUGUUUGGGAGACUUAGACCUUCUGUUUAAAGCUAUUGGCUAAUAUUUUCCCAAACCUGUCCCUGGGGACCCCUUAAAUAAACAUUGUCAACUAGUGGACCAUAGUUUGGAUUCAUAGCCAGCAAGGAAUUUUACAAUUGAACUAAGAAAUUACAAAAAUACUGUAGGAAGCUAAUGGCAGUUUGAAGUUUUCUAAUCAUGAGGCUUUUUUGGUGCAGUUUAUCCAAUCACUUCUAUUUUUUCACAUUUAUUUUAUUAUUUUUAUUUACACUAUCUGGUCUGAAUAGUACAUUUAGUGACUGCAUACUAUUAAAAGCCAACAACAAAAAAAUGUUUGAAAAACGUGUCUGAUACACUAUAUGGACAAAAGCUUGUGGUCACUAUUAAGUUUCCAUUUUCUGCUUUAAUACCGUCCACUCUUCUGGGAUGUUUUGGGUGUGUUUGUGGAGAUUUGUGUUCAUUCAACCACAAGGGUGUUAGUAAAGUCAGGUACUGAUGUGGAUGAGGUGAUGAAGUCUGGGGUGUAGUCAGCAUUCUAAAUCAUCCAAAUGCAUUCAUUAGAGUUGAAGUCAGAACUUGAUAUUAUAUAAAUUGAAGCUCUAUGUGGUUUGGAUUCAUUUUACAUGGGAAGAUGAGGUGAUGUGGUGAUGUAAUUAUUGCCAGAUUAGUUGUGGGAUUUGACAGACUGCAUGCGAAUGGGUCCGGAACGACUGCACUGUAUUUUACCUUCUAUUAUAUGACCACUAGUAAUAUUUUCCAUCUGAAUUGACAUUUAUUAAUAACCAUGAAUUAAUCACUAAUGGAUAAUCAUUGAAAAGGAACUGCUGGCUUCAUUUAGUCAUGUAACUGUCUUAUCAAGGAUUUUGUAAUCUAAAAGGAUCAUUGCAGGUUUUAGUAACAGAUAAACCAAAUUGCUGCUAUAUCCAAAAAUCCCCCUAUGCCCCAUAAUCCCCAAACAUAAAUGUUGGCCCUCUGUGGGAAACUGUGCGAAAUCAAGUUUGGGAAACACAAGCUCAGCUAUAAAAUAGCCUGAGCAUUUUUUUUAAAUUAUAGAUUGGUUCUGAAGUUGAAAUAUUUCUGAUUAAACAUUAGGGCUGCCUAUAAAAUUGCAUAAGAGUGUCAUUAUUGUGUUAAUAGAGAAACCUUUAGCAGGGUUAUCUUUAUAUCACCUAAAAUUCCCGAUAUAUUUUCAAUACUUCUUUCAAAGAUUAUCAAGCCUCAAGAAUGUUUUUCAGUAUAAGCAUAAAUAAUUCAGUCCCCUCAGUUCAGGAUAAGAAAGUGUGUAUGUGUGCGUGUGUCUGAUGUGAGGGUCAAACUACUCCCCCUGGUUUGCCUUAUUUGAAGAGUGGCCCAGCAAAGCACGAGACAGAAGUGGUGCGAGGGCUGGAGGUCCACUGGGAAUUUUGAAUGUCUCUAUUACAGGACCGGAGCGAUUUGUAUGGAAUUAUGUCAAGCAAUGGCGAUGUGGACCUUUGGGACGUUGACACUCCUGGCCCUGCUGCAAAAUGAUCCUGGCCCAAGUCUCUUUCUUGUAUCUGCUUUUUUUAGAUGCUUGUAAAAAGACAGUGGAUAAAUCUAUAAAGAAACAAAGCAAAUCAAAUAUUUUUUUUUAAUACUGGGUUUACCAUAUAGGUAAAUCUCUGAAUAA